rnacentral:lncRNA from 1 species
UUACGAAAAUGUUCGACUUACAUUUUAAAUUUGUUCAAUAAGUAUUUAAAUAUUGUUCAACAUAUAUCACAAAAAAUUUCAAUGUGUAUUUAGUUUUUUUUUCAGAGUAUAUAAAAAAUGCAAUGUAUAUUUUAAGCUGUUCAUCAUAUAUAAAAAAUUCACAAUAAUUAUUUGAAAUUUCAAAAUUUAUUCAUAUUUUCAAUAAUUGGUCACGUUUUCCACAAAAUGUUUAGGUUUUAAAAGUUACUCAAAUUUCUAAAUUUAUUCACGAUUUUCUAACAUUAUUCAAAUAUUUUGAGGAAAAUCGUUCACAUUUUUUCCCAAGAAUUGUUGAAAAAAAAUAAACAGAUCUAUGGCUGUACAUACUACUUUAAAUUGUACGCUGCUAUUUAGCCAUACUCAGUCGCUAGAUCUUCUCGCGCGCUUUUGUUUUUUGUUUUUGCCAGGGUAUGGACCAGGGUGAGGAGGCGUGUUCGAUUAUCCCCAUCCCAUCCUUAGUUUUCUCACACCCAAAGAACCAGUAAGCCCACACAUUUUGUUUGGCCCAUAACUACAGUUGGGCACAGAACGUGAGAAGAGGAGCGACGUACGAAGAGAUAGCAGAGACGCGAGUCCAUGUCAGCGUUCGCAGCGAUGGACGAAAAAGUAUUUCAAAAAAAAAUCAUGUUUUCAAUAGUUGUUCACAUAGUCCAAUAAUCGUUCAGGUUUUAAAACUUAUUUUAAUUUUAAAAUUUAUUCAUGAUUUUCAAACAUUAUGCAAAUAUUUAAGGAAAAGCUGUACAUACUACUUUAAUUCUAACACUGCUUAGUUGUACGAAGUUGCUAGCUCAUGGCUGGCAAUGCUGCGGGUCGGAGGUGCAACUCCAUCGAGCACACUUUUGUUUUAAGUGGUAUUUUGUUUUUCCGUCCAAAGCACCAGCAAGCCCACACGCAUCGCUUGGCCCAUAAUUGAGGUCAGCUAGUAUUGGGCCGCAGAAGGGGCUUAGAAUCUAUACUGAGGAGAGAACCAACGCUGAUUAAUAGUUGUACGUACGAGCUUCCCUCAAAAAAAAAAGUUGUACGUACGAGCUGAUCGAAGAGACGUGUUCUCAUGCUUCAAGUCAGCCUUCGCUAGCGACGGACGAAAAAAAAUUACAGUGGACAAAAAAAGUGGAAAAACAAUCAUCCUUUAAUAUUAGUAGAGAUAGAGAUAGAGAGGUAGAGAUAGAGAGUAGAGAAAUGUGUUUACAUAGGAUGUGGAGUCGUGUCCUAGUAGAACACUUUGUAUCUUAGGCUUCUCAUAUAUAACGGGGGUAGACACAUGAUGUAACAUAUGCCAACAUAAUAGCACAGACACGCAAGGGGGAGGCGGCGGCGUGUGCCGGCGCCCGGGUGGCCGGUGUGCGGUAUUGUGACGGUGUAACGGGGGAGCGCCCGUAGUCAAGCCCCGGGGAUGUAGCUACAUCGGUGAACCUCGUUAACAAAUUUCGGCGUCGUGCUCGUGUGAUUGCUUAGCCCUCGAAUGAUAAACAAUAUGCCUCGGAUUUAUUCUAAAAGUGUCCUAGGCGCGGUCGGUGAACAAGGCAAUUAGGCGGGGCCAAUUUGGAGAUUUCUCCGUCAGGCAAGCUUUUGUAUAACUGAGGCCAGGAUGGGAGUUUAGCACUAGAUACGAACAGCUUACCGAGCCAGACCAACUUUCGGGGCAGCAAUCUUGCCGGAGACGAGAAGAAACUAGGGAAGGAAAGUGGACUGUUUUCCUUAGCAUACCUUGGUGAGGAACUUUUUGAGCUGCAGCGAAGAAGAGACUUCCCCAACAUCAUAGCCUCUGGGGUCCCGGGAGAAGGAGAACCCGGCGCCGACCGGCGAGUCCACGAACAGGACACUGGCAACUUUGGUCCAUGCGUAGGGGUGGUACCGCAGCCGCGGUAUGGUGCCAUUGUAGGGCUCUCCGAUUAAUUUCAACGGACCUAGAAAUGCAGUUGACUUCACUCAAUCAAUCGAUACUCACUCCAAUAGAAGGGAACAGCAAUCAGGCAGCUAGAUCUAGAAGUGCCAGCCAAGACAGAAAUAGUAAAGUCGGCCAGUGUCGCCGUACGGGAAUCACUGACCUAUCUCGAAGAGCAACGCGCUCAGGACGCUGCAGCGGUCGCCACCGGUGAUCCAGACGAUGACCGGGUCGCUCCGUGAGUCGCCCUCCGACUCGAUGAAGUAGUAGAACAGCUCCGAGCCGUUCUGCUCGUCCACGGUCACGUACCUGCCAUGGACGAGGAGCUUGUAAACGAGUGCACUGGCAGCGCAGGAGUGUCCAAGAACGUGCGUGCCUGACCGAGGAAAAGUUGCAGCCGCAUGUUGCCCGGAAUUGUAGCAUUUUUGACCGAGGAAUACGUACCCGGUCUCAAGCCGGAACGGGAGGGGGCCAUCGAAGCCUGGAAGGCUGGCGACGAGCGUUGGAGCCGCCUCGGCGGCGAGGAAGCGGCAGCGGCGUGGCAGAGCGGAGAAGAAGCAGAGGAGGAAGAUGAGCCGCAGGGGCCGAGGCACUUGCGCCUCCAUGGUUUUCCGACGAAAACUUGCUCCCUGGCUGUUCGUACUUGCCCACUUCCAUCGGCUGCUCCACCUGACCUCUAGCCGCUGACAUUUUGUUUUUUUAUUAUUGAAGUCUGGCAGCAGAUCCACAUCACGGAUCAGAUAAAGACAUUGUACACCGCGUGCUUCGUCAGAGAGAAACGGAAAUAAAAAAACAGACUACAAAAGUCCUCACCCUUCGUGGGUCUUUUCCAGUGUUUUCCGGUACUGGAGACAGAGAGCACACCGUAGUACGCCUCGGCGCCCUGACACGCGGAAACGACACACACCCGGGGCAACAGCACGUGUCGUCUUCUUCUCGAGUAUACAACCCUCAAAGCGGCGACGCCUGGCUUGUUCCGCCGUGGAGCAGGGCAUGGUCCAUGGUGUGUGUCAGGACUCAGGACAAAGGAUCCUUCACGAUGAGUGGAGUGAAAUGCAACCGCAUCACAUUUGUUGUGAAAAGAAAAGAUCCGGACCAUGGACGAGGAGCUUGUAAACGAGUGGACCUGCAACGUAGGAGUGUCCAAGAACGUACGUGCUUGACACACGUACCCGGUCUCAAGCCGGAAGGGGAGGGGGCCAUCGAAGCCUGGGAGGCUGGCGACGAGCGUCGAAGUAGCAUCGGCGGCGAGGAAGUGACAGUGACGUGGCAGAGCGGAUAAGAAGCAGAGGAGGAAGAUGAGCCGCAGGGGGAGGGCCAUCUCCAUGAGGGGCCGAGACACUUGCGCCUCCAUGGUUUCCCGAUGAAACCUUGCUCCCCUGGCUGUUCGGACCUCCAUCGGUUGCUCCACCUGAUCGCUAGCCCCUGACUUUCUUUUAAUAGUCAAUAAAGUCUGGCAGCGGAUCUACAUCACGGAUCAUAUGCAGACGUUGUGCACCGCGUGGCAAAGAAAAAGACCUCGUGGGUCUUUUCCAGUGCUUUCCAGUGGAGACGGACAGGACUUUUUUUACUGUUUUGACAUAUGAUCAAAACUUUAGCAUAAUUUGACCUUAAUUUAAAAAAAAAUCGGAUCUGACCAUUUAGAGACGUCAGCAAGCAUGGCAGUCUUGGUUAGAUGAAAGACGCCAUACUCUGUGGCGUAUAGCCCUGGCCCGCGGUCCUUUGCAUUUGCAUGUAUCCAUACACAGCUCGCUCCCAAGCGGCUGCUAGUCCUUCAUACUCUACAUGCUUGCACACGCAUACAUGUGUAAUACUCCCUUCGUUUUUAAAUAUAAGUUUUUCAGAUAUUUUAAAUGGACUACAACAUAUGAAUAUAUGUAAAUAUAUUUUAGAGUGUAGAUUCAUUCGUUUUGUUCCAAUAUGUAGUCACAUGUUGAAAUUUUUAAAAAAACUUAUAUUUAGAAACGAAGGGGUACUAUGCCUCCAUAUACGCGCGCCCGCCUAGCUCUUUUCUGGUUCUAGCUUAGCCUAGCACAGUACUAGCGUGUGAGGCCGGCCGGAAUCGAUCCAUCAACCUAAGCCUCGUUUAAUGUCGUCCCGCUGGUGCGCUUCACCAUAAGCUGUGAGAGAGUGCAUAUCGUCCAGCCGGGCUCCCCAAAGAUCUGGUCAUAAAAUUGUGACCAACGACAUCCUUUAUAUCGGUCGUCCGGGCUGACCGACCCGCUUAGUAGCUUAAAUCUGGAUGGACAUGACAUAAGAAAGAUCCGGACGAGUCGGAUCCGACACACCCUAACCAUUCAAUCCCGUAUAUAUUCGUCUCCAUCCGUAAUAAAACGCAUCCAGCUCCAUCAAGUCCAUGUUUGAAUUUCAUAUAAACACGCCGGAUUUCGUAUAGACAUUGACAGAUUUCAUUACAGAUACAUCAAAAUGAUACUAGACGGGCUUUGGAGUAUAAUUAAUACCUAAUCUAAAUGAUCGCCGGCGUCCGGUCCCGUGGCAGGCCAUCAGCUCCAAGAGCCCGUCUCCAGUUCGGCCUCGGCACUCUCCAGCUCCGCCUCCGUAACCUCCACCUCCGGAGCCCCAGGAACAGAAAUUGUCCGCCUCCACGUCACCGUCAAGCGACUAAUCGGCCGAACAUGCUCAACCUACCAAGCUUGACGUCGGCGGGAGGGGAGGAGCGGUGGACUUCCUGGGACACGAGAGGCAGCGAUCUACCAUGCACUACUCUUCCUCCUUGCCGGCGGCGCCCGCGGACAUGUCGGCUUCUUCGUGGUCGUGGCGCCGGGGCGCGGCCUCCUCAUCGUCGGUGUUGACGAACGAUGCCUCGUUGCCUCGUCGUUGCAUUCCUUGCCAGCGGCGGCCACCUCCGCACCCGCUGUCGGUAUCGCCAGCGGGCGAGGCGAACCUCUCAGGCGGAGUGGUAGGAUUCGAGCAGCGCCUCCUGCUUCGCCAGGUCCGCGCCCAUCGGCAACUUGCUCCUCCGCCCGCAGAUGCUCCUGAAGGAGCUUGUCGUUGUAGUUGGUGUCAGCAUGUGCCUUCCGAAACUGGUCCUUCCACUCCUCCCACACCACGCCAUAUAAUGGGCACGAGCCUCUCCAAUGGUCAUGGUGCAAUGCACCGGUGAGGAUGGAGCGGAGGAGGAGGGUGCCGGGGAGGAAGAAGAGGAUGGCGCCAGCUCGUCGUCGGAGGCGUCCUACGGUUACCUGCCGGCUUGCCAGUUGGCAGCAAUGGUGGCCAUGGCCUUCUUCUGCUCCGAUGUCAGCCUGUCCCAAAGAGCUUUGGCUGCGGAGAGAUCCAUGGCGGGGAGUGGUGAAGAGAGGGAUGACUGUGGCUAUGGCUGGGGCACUGGGGCAGCGGUUUAUAUAGCACCGGUGGGUGGCAGAAGGACGGACGAGUGGCAUCGGAGGAGAUGCCUCGGCAAUCGUGUGCAAUCAAUAUGGGCGAUAGAAAGACGGACGGGCGGCUGUCGUGUCAUUUGAAUGAGCAACAAUCGCCUGCACGGGGAAGUGGUGCGGGCAGCGCUCUCUCGAACAGCGCACCACUUCAUUGCCGGUGCCAAGUAGCGGUCGCGCCCGCUCUGGUCGGGCAUGAAUGCGAGCGAUGACGCUCUGGAGCGGCGCUGACAGAAAACGCGCGGGAGAGGGAGGGAUUUUUGUGGGCCUGGACGAUCAGAAGUGGGCUUGGGAUCGAUCUGAAUUCUCCAAAUUUCCCCACUUUUGUCUUCAGUUUGUGGGAGAAAUUACGUCCGGAUCAUCCUACAGACCGAUACAAGUCGGCAUUGGGUGGCUUCCGUGGUCCAGACCAUGCGGUUGAGACGGUUGCGGGAGAUUUACGGUGCGCAUUAGAGCCCUUAUAAUGUGCGUCAGCGGCAAGUCCAACCAACGCAACAAAUUUUGGUGUAGUGCACACUAGCCCACCCAUGGACGAUGAGACGCCGCGUUCUUUACCUCCCUCUUUUAUUCAAUCAUCAUCAAAUCAAUCACUCAAACUAUCUCGGCCGGCCAGUUGCGCCGCUGGUUCCCUAUCUCUCUGUCGGCCGCUCCGGCGGCAGGAGGGAGGGGGAACCUCGGGUCUAUCCGCUAGGUGGGUGUGUGGUAGGGCUAGGGUUGAGGGUGACGAUGCUGAGGCCGUUGCGGUGGUGUCGCGUCGGAAUAAGUUUCUCCGGGCUCCGUUCGCGGUCAGGCAAGGCUUUUGCCUUCGUCUAGGAGCCAGCGGGGUGGGGGAUCCGUGGAUCUCGUCGAGGUCGCGGGGUAUGGUGGCUGGAGGUCCAUCGGCACUGGCCGUUUGGGUCCUCAGAUGGGUGAUGGAUGCAGGGAGACGAAGACGCUUCUUCUUCCUUGUUGGUAUGAUUUGCUGCUGUUGUUCUUCUCCUUCCUCUGCGUUGAUGCUGGAGAGAGAUCCUGUUUUGCCCGGGUAGAUGGCCCGGUCGCGGUGCUGAACCGGUCGGAUGACUCGAGUUCUCUUCCUUCCGGAAGGGACAUUUUUCGCGGUACUUAAAGCCAAAGAUGGCGACGGCUGUUGCAGGUGUGUUGAAUUGAUGUCCAUGCCCUCUCAGCGCUGGUGUCAAGAAAGGAGGAAGCAGCAUGGCGGCAAUUGUACCGUGGUCGAAGAUGAUGACCUGCUUGCGCUUGGUUGCAGAUCCUUCUGCUGCAGGGGUCUUCUCUCAAGAUUCAGGGAUGAUGUCACAGGGCUCCAGAGAUCUUAUUGUGAUAUGGUUGGCUUAGGAUAUCCUAGGUGUUUAUGGUCCUUUGUGUUUGCGUUUCAGUGUGGUUUGUACUGUUUCAUGAUUUGAAUAAAAAAAUUCUCAAAAAAAAAAAAGAAAACUAUCUCGGCCGAGUUGUGCACCCGUGCUAUUCUUUCCGUGCGCAUGUAUGCUGGAGACCUCGGAGCAGACGCCGCAGACUAUGACGUCUCCCUUCUAAUCAAGACGCCAUGAUUGUUGGCGUUUCGAUAUGGGUCAUAUGUGAAAAAAGUUUCAAACUAAGGUCAUAUGGUGCUAAAGUUUUGAUAGUGGGUCAAAACGGUAAAAAAGUCCUGGCCUAUGGGUACAGAGGGCAAUCAAAAAGUCAAAUAGGGGGAGAUAGAGUAUACUCCCUCAUUUUUUUUUAGUUUGCAUAUAAGAUUUGAUCAAAAUCAAACUUUGUAAAAUUUGACUAGCUUUGUAGAAAAAGAUAUCAACAUCCACACUAUGAAAUCAAGAAUAUUAGAUGCAUUAUAAAAUUAAUUUUCAUAGCAUAUAACCUUAGUAUUGUAGAUGUUAAUAUAUUUUUUAUAAAGUUAGUCAAAGUUUAUAAAGUUUGACUUUGACUAAAUUUUAUAUACGGACUAAAAAGAAACGAAGGAAGUACAUGUCCCUGACCACUAGCCCAUUAAAAAACACGGCCAGCCAUUACAAACACAUGUGCCGGCCUAUGGGCACAGCGCUGCACUGUGUAUACACUCUGUUCUACUUAAAAAAACAUAUAGACUAUUUGCGCCUAUGUAUAACAUCGGCACAUCCAGCUGCUACGUAGACACUGAAAUUAAAAUUAGGAAAUUUGAUCGGUACGCCGGUGAUAGACAAAAAAUGAUACAUGUAUAGUUUUAAGAAAAUAUUGGUACAAUUGCUUAGUACUCUCUGUAACCUUUUAUUAGACAUUUUUAGAGUCCAUGACAGUGUCAAAAAAUAUUAUACUAAGUUAUAGAGGUUUUACCUAGAUAAAAAAAUGAAGCACAACUGCUAUCUUAGCCCCAAUUAAUUUUUCACUUUACGAAAAAUCCAUUUUUUCCUAUAAACAUACACAUACAUAAGAUGUAGUCAAAAAUACAUGCUCGAGGUCAGCCCAGUGUGUGGGCCCAUGAUGUUUAAAAGUGCAUGCAUGGGUGUCAUGCCGAUAUGAGCAUGUAUACAUAUCGGUAGGUUUCCCAAAGAAACAAAACUGCUAGGCGUCAACCGACUAAUUUUGAGGAAAAUCAGUCGGCUCAACAGUCGUCCAAUCUAACACAGUUAGUGUGGAUCACAACGCAGCUCGGGUUGACCCGUUGUCCCCUGUAGCGCUGCAGCCUUGGUCACUCGUCGCCAGCACACCUCAUCCUCCGUCUCGUGUAGCCACGCCGGCCACGAACCAUCGCCGCCUUACAGCAGCCCCCACAAAGCAACAGCUCGUCCCCUAGAAACACAUAUGGUUGCCGCGACCACACCCGCCGGCGAGACCUGCUGGUUGUAGCACCACACACACGCUGUAUUUCAGCAUCCGCAUCGAACGACACCCGGAUCGCAGCACUAGGUGCACAACAUUGCAGCUUCGUCGGCGACAACACCUGGGUCGCAGCACCAUGCAUGCUGCUUUGCAGCUCCGCCGGCGACGAGACCCGGGUCACAGCACGACGGGCGUUGCAUUGCAACUCCGCCACCGGCGAGAUCCGGGUAGCAACAGCAGUAGUGUUACAUUGCAGCUCCGCCGGCGACGAGAUCACAGCUCGUCUACGUUGUAUAGAAGCAACCCGCCGGCAACGAGAUCCAGGUCAUAGCAACAGAGCCCGUUGCAUUGCAGUUGCGCCGACCACGAGAUCCGCAUGAAGUAGCAUCACAUGUGUUGCAUAGAAGCAACCUGUCGCCGGCAAGAUCCGCGGUUGCAGCUGUUGGCACCUGUUGGAUGCUGUGUUGGUGGUGUUCUUGCAUCUAGAGAAAUAGAGAAGCGGGGUGGAAGAGAGACAAAGGUGGUUGCAGCAGUAGCGUAUGCGAUGGUGUCAUGCUUGAAGCAGCUGUCGGCAGCCUGACGCCAAGCGUGGUGAGUCACAGCUUUACGGUGGUGGCGCCUGUAACGAGAAAACCACAAGAGAGAGAGGGUGAAAGAGAUAAGAUGGAGGGAUGAGGAAGGAAAAUAAAUCAGGGGAGAUGGGAAGGCCCGUGACGCUUCUGGAGAGGGAGACGUGGGCCACAUGCCACAUGGAGAGCGAUGAACGCGGCUUAAAAGUCUGUGAGAUUAGUCGGUCUAAAAAGAACAUUUCCCAGAAACAAAUCCGUAAAGGAUCCACUUGAUAAACUGAUUGGCCUCAGCUGAAAAUAUCUUUAUAAAUAAAUUAGCUUUUGAUUUAUAGAUAAAACUAUAUGUAUAGAUGAUGGUAUACAAUAAGGAUAAGAAAAAUUAUAUUUUUAUUAUUUUUGGGUGAGAUCAUUGAUGAUGUCAUUAGAUGUAGUAUUGUGAUCGGACUUGUUUUUUGCUGGCCGCUCGGAUUGUUCAUAGUUCGUAGUCGUGUCUUUUUUUACAUGGCCGUGACUCAUUUAGGGCAUGUACAAUGGUUGAUAAGGUAGUCUUAUCUUAAGUCUUGCAUGUGAUUUAGAGAUGACAAAAAAAGAUGUAUACAAUGGAUCAUCUUUUAGCCUUGUAUCUUCAAUAAUUGGCUAUUCCUAAAAACAUGAUGAGAUAUAUUGUGCUAAGAGAUCAUCUCUUAUCUUCUCUUAAAUAAGAGAAGACAAUCAUUUUCUUAUAAUUUCUCUCUCCUCCACCUCAUCAUUUAUCCUAUGUGGCAUUGCUAAGAUAAAACCAUUGUACAUGCCCUUAGCUGUUUGGCAGCUGUGUUUUUUUCACGGGAGCUGUUAAACCUUGGUUUAUAGUACUACAAUCCUAACGUACUUUUUGAGGAAAAAAAUAUGACUUGUAUGAAAGAUGUGCCGAACUAUUAUAUGUAUGGGCAUUAAGGAAUCUGGCCACAUGUUUUGUAUGGUGCCUACGUGUGGGCAAAACAACUAGCGCUUACACACCUCUUUUUUUCCUCGCGGCCCCUCUCACACGCCUACGUGUGGGCAAAAUGGAUAACGCCCACACGACCUCUCUCAGUCACUUACCUCAUGGUCCCGCACGCCCCGCGUGACGAUCACCACGUGUCCCUGCAGUUGCCAUGGUCCAGACCUUCUCCAAUGUUCGUUUAACUGCAGUUGCCAUGUCGCUGAUCUACGGUUGCCAUGUCGGACAACUACAGUUGCCAUGGUUGUUCAACUGCAGUUGCCAUCUCAGGUCAAGUGACAGAUGCCAUUUUGGACAACUGCAGUUGUUGCCAUGUAUGAUCUGAUUUACUAUAGUUGCCAUGAUUUGAAAACUUUAGGGGUUGCCACCUACUAACACUAGGCAGUUGCCAUGUAUGAUCUGGUUUACUACAGUUGUCAUGAUAUGAAAAUCUUAGGAGUUGCCACUUACUAACACUAAGCAGUUACCGUGUAGAGCUACAAAAAGACAUGGCAAAAUAACAUGUUCGGGUAAAGAGAAAGUUGCCAUCUGCUUACAUGCACACUAGGACAGUUGCCGUGUAUCCUGCAAAACACAUGGCAACUGACAUGUUCGGAUAAAAAAGAGAGAGUUACCAUCUCCUUACAAGCACACUAAGGCAGUUGCCAUGUACACUGUAAAACACAUGAGAACUGGCAGCUUUGGGUGUGGGCGAGGAGACGGGCGUGUGGGCGACAUGGCAAAUGCCCAUACACCAGCCCUUGUGUGUGUGUGAGUGAAAACAGACGUGUGGGCGAACUGCUAAACGCCCACACACUGGGGCCCCCGUGUGGUGAAACGGACGUGUGAGCGACCAAAUAAAUGCCCACACACCAGCCCAGUUCUACGUGACACCAUAAACAUGCCAAGAUUCAUGCAACCACAAACGGACGUGGAUCCACGCGUGUGAGCGAGAUGCAAACGCCCACACGUGUGGGCGUUAGUAUUUCCGGAAAAUAUAUGUUUUGUCUUGUAGGUCUCCUUCUCUUGUACAUCUCCUUGUCCCACACAUGAUUGUGCUUUGCACCUUUCCAUCAUAAUAGAUGCACAUGGCAAAUUCUUAUCCUAUUAGAUUUCUUUUUGCAUCGCUUCUCCUAUUACACGCCUCCUUGUCGCCCUACACGUGAUUGUACUCCUUAGCACCUUUCCAUCAUAAUACACGUAUGUGGAGAGAGAAUAAAGCUGAUCUGGAACGAAGCCUUUGUACGGCCCCCGCGUCGCUCCCGCAGGGGCGACUCGGGCGGCUCAAACCCUAGCCGCCGCCGGGGCUCCCUCCCCCAUUCUCCUCCCCCUCGUCGCCGUCGGAGGUGGUCACCGGAACGUCACGCGACCGCUGGGGAUGGUGGCGGCGAGGAUCUAGUCGCUCCGCCCCGGUGGAGGAUCUCGGAGCAGAGGUGGCGACCUGUGGUGGUGGACCUGCGCCGUCCUCAGCUAGCGGCGCCAGCGGGUGCUGCCGUCCACUUCGGUCGUGUGGGCGGCGGGGUGACGGCCGGCGAUGGCCGUGGUGCACGGUGGCCUCGAGGGGACCCGCAUCAGAUCUGAUGGCGCCUUCCUUUCUGUGACGUCCCCGAUUCAAUCUUAUACUAAUCAUACACGCAAAUGUGUACGAUCAAGAUCAGAGACUCACGGGAAGAUAUCACAACACAACUCUAGACACAAAACAAAAUAAUACAAGCUUUAUAUUACAAGCCAGGGGCCUCGAGGGCUUGAAUACAUAGCUCAAUACACAAGAGAGUCAGCGGAAGUGACAAUAUCUGAGUACAGACAUAAGUUAAACAAGGAUGCCUUAAGAAGGAUAGCACAAAAGCAACACGAUUGAAGAGGCAAGGCCUCCUGCCUGGGACCUCCUAACUACUCCUGGUCGUCGGUGGUCUCCACGUAGUAAUAUCCGUCGGUGGUGGCAUCUAGCUCCAGGGAGCCACCAUCUGGUUGCAUCAACCGGAAAGAAGAAAGAAGGGGGAAAAGGGGUAGGAAAGCAACCGUGAGUACUCAUCCAAAAUACUCGCAAGCAUCAGAUCUAUACUAAGUAUGCACUGGUAUCAAAUGGAAGGUUUGUAUCUGUGGACUGAACUGCAGAAUGCGAAAAUAGAGGGGAAGGCCUAGCCUAUCGAAGACUAGCAUCUUCAAGCAGCUCCAAGCAUCUUGCAGCAUGUAGAAGAGUAAAGAAUAGCAGUUUAAUAUUUAACAAGCAUGUUGUAACAUUAAUGCCCAGAGAUCCUUCCUCGGCUCCCUGCGAGAAAGCAAUCCCGGAGCCACAUAUUCAAGUAUCCAUUCGUAGUUGUAUAAGAUUAGGAUAUAAGUCUGAACGUCUGUUACCGUGGACAGGGCUAUUAAUAGAUAAACUUCCCUACAAGGGUGCACCACGUUUUCCAACAUGCUUGAUUACUCUGGCCGGACACACCUUUCCGGGUCAAUGCCCAGCCUCGGAAGAUCAACACGUCGCAGCCCUACCUAGGCUCAGUAGAGAGGUCCGCACCGGUCUACCUCCUAAGCACUCCGGGGUCUGGGCCCAUCGCCCAUUGCACUCCAGGUCGUUGCUUAUAGGGCGGGUCCAGGCUCCACCACUACAGGAUGGUGCCAGCCCAGCCGUGCCCGACUGCUGAACUGGACAUCUGACAAAGUUUCGGCUGAUACCACGACGCCGAGGCCCAUAACUAUUCUCACGUGGUGGUUGGUGCAUAAAGGCCAAAGGCCAACUCAGAACAAAUACCCAAACCAUAGUGUAUUAUUAGCUUGCGGAGACGAGCAGAGAUUCAUGAUCGAAAGUGAUCCCGUCGCCCCAUCUCGUGGACUUACGACAAGGGCUCAGAAUGCCCGGCCGUGCCACGUCAUUAUCUUGCGGGUGCUCUCCGGGCCCGCCCGACUUUCACCAAGGUCUCAAGUAAAGCCAAUGUAACCAUGUGUCCAAACAUCAAGGGGAAAACCCGAGGAAUCACCCCUGAUGGAUUCCACUCAAUGUAAUCAUCAAGGUGAACGUAAGAGGGACCACCCUCGAGGUUCACACUUGAGGUGUUGAACAAUAGAGCCGUAUCGGGAAUGAUGAAAGAGGAAAUCACCCUCGAUGACCACGACCGAAUAGCUACACUACAGAAUUAUCAUCAGGAGUGCGUUAUGAGGGAUGACCCUCGGCACUCGAUAGUAGCUCCGCAGAGUCGAGCAACAAAAGGGGCGUGAUGUGAUGUGAGGUGUCGGGCUUUGGUCGUCGAUCACGCUGAUCGAGUCGUCGAUGAUGAAGCAGGGGCAACAAGGACAAGGUGGGGGUCACUGAUGGAUCACUAGUCAACCUAUACUAAGCAGUUUAGGAUAAGCAGGUAGGUAACAAUAGCAGGUACAAAAGCAGGCUAUGCAUCAGAAUAGGAGCAAACAAUAACAGUAGCAAAAUCUAAUGCAAGCAUGAGAGUAUAGAAUGGCCGAUAUCAGGAUGAUCAAAGGGGGGGCUUGCCUGGUUGCUCAGGCGAGAAGGAGGGGUCAUCGUCGACGUAGUCAAUCACAGGGGCAUCAGCAGCAGUCUUGGGGUCUACCGAAGAGAAGAGGGGGGAGAAAACAGUAAAUACAUAACAAGCAAGAGCAUAACAGGACAACAUGCAGAGCUAGACGUGUUCUAACGCGGUGAUACACAAUACCGGCGAAGGGUGAUAACUGAUACGUCCAUUUUGCAUCAUGCUUUUAUAUCAAUAUUUAUUGCAUUAUGGGCUGUUAUUUCAUGUUAUGUCACAAUACUUAUGGCUAUUCUCUCUUAUUUUACAAGGUUUACAUGAAGAGGAAGAAUGCCGGCAGCUGGAAUUCUGGGCUGGAAAAGGAGCAAAUAU